GUUUACAAAUCACCCACUUAUUUCGACAGACUAUUACGUUCCGUGCAAUGGCUGGAAUGUAGCGAUGAGAGGACCUCAUGUAUCCCCAGUGUACCUGACGCUGCUCAGCUGGUCCCCAUAAUUCUCAGCCUCACGUCCCAGAACUUGCACAGCUGAGCAUUCUCUCGGGUUCCAGAAACAGCCUUGCCACUUCAGAGAAUUCUCGUUGUUGUUCAGUUGCUAAGUGGUAUCUGACUCUGCAACCCCAUGGACCCCAGGAAGCAUGCUAGGCUUCCCUGUCCUUCACUGUCUCUUGGAGUUUGCUCAAAUUUAUGUCCAUGGAGUCGGUGAUGCCAUCCAACCAUCUCAUCCUCUGUCAUCCCCUUCUCCCCUGGCCCUCAAUCUUUCCCAACAUCAGGGUCUUUUCCAGUGACUCAGCUCUUUGCAUCAGGUGGCCAAAGUAUUGGAGCUUCAGCAUCAGCCCUUCCAAUGAAUACUCCGGACUGAUUUCCUUUAAGAUUGGCUGGUUGAUCGUACAGUCCAAGGGACUCUCAAGAGUCUUCUCCAGCAUUGAACUUACUGAUUUGUAAGCACUCUUCUAAUAAUAUGUGAUACCUCAUUUGAUCCUUAUAGCAAUCCUCAUAUUGUUCUAAUUGAAAAAGUAAUAAGACUAAAAUGUGACAUCACUGAUACUAAAAAUUAGAAUAACACAAUAACACAUCCUUACAGAGAUACCUACUUAUUAGAAAAAUAGUUUUGAUUAUUGCAAACAAACAUUCAAGCUACUGGAAGAAUUAUGUAAAUAUCAGUAAAAGUUAAGAAAACAUAUAUAUUAUAUAAAGAGUUUCCAAAACCAUAAAAUUAACUCUGACAAAACACAGUUAAAGGGAAAAGCAAGCACUGGAGUAUGUGUAGGAGGGUGUUUCACAUUUAUGUUGGAACCAGUUACUAACUGGCUUCUGAUAACAGACCUGUAAUUUUCCCCCAAA
rnacentral:lncRNA from 1 species